UAAAUGUCAUUAAACCUUGUUCAAUAUGAUGUGGUAUUAUCAGUAUUAGAAGUGGUAACCGUGGUCAAACACCUUUGUCCUGGAAGGAGUGCUCCUCUACCACGUGUAGAACUCAUACUUACCUGGCAAGGGAGACACCGUGAUCAAGAAGGCGGUUCACCCAGGGCGAGGCUCAGCCAUUGCACUCCGGCUGUGCUGACCCCUGCGAAUUUCUCAAAUGUGGAAAUCUCGAUUGCAUAAUUUCUGGUAGUGGGGGACUGCGUUCGCGCUCUCCCCUGAUCUUGAUGUUAAAAACAUUAAGGUACAUAUUAUUCAUGUGUUUCAUUUAACUUGCAUUCUAUUGAGUUUCGUGUUGAGGGACAUUUGUCAACAUUUACUGUUCUUAUCAGAUGAAUGGCUAUAGAAUGUAGGGUCUGUUUAUAAGUCAACUAAGGCCUCAGAGAUACAUUUUUGUCUUCUGAUAACCCGGAGUGUGUGAUAUGUUAUUGUAGCACUGGUGAUUAUGCCUGUCAUGUCCUGUAAUGUCAAGGAAAAGGCCUAUUGUGAAUGGAUCAUUUUGUGCCCUCAUGACGUAUCUGGAUUGAGGUAUUUUUUGCUAGAUUAUUAAGUCAUUUAUAGGACAGUUUGUCAUUUAAGACCACAGUAAAUGUCAACCAUUACCAUGACAACAGACAUUUCCCUGGUCAACCAUUACCAUGCCACAGACAUUUCGCUGGUCAACCAUUACCAUGCCACAGUCAUGCCCUGGUCAACCAUUACCAUGACAACAGACAUUUCCCUGUCAACCAUUACCAUGACAACAGACAUUUCCCUGGUAACCAUUAUCAUGCCACAGUCAUUGCCCUGGUCAACCAUUACCAUGCCACAGACAUUUCCCUGGUCAACCAUUACCAUGACAACCGACUUUUCCCUGGUCAACCAUUACCAGCCAGUCAUUUCCCUGGUCAACCAUUACCUCCACAUCAUUUCCCUGGUCAACCAUACCAUGCCACAGACAUGUCCCUGGUCUACCAUGCCACAGCCAUUUCCCUGGUCAACCAUUACCAUGAAACAGACAUUUCCUGGUCAACCUUACCAUGACAACAGACUUUUCCCUGGUCAACCAUUACCAUGCCACACAUUUCCCUGGUCAACCAUUACCAUUCCACAGUCAUUUCCCUGGUCAAC
ensembl:lncRNA